CAGGAAUGGUUGGUGGGUAAGCCAGGACAAGUGCCUUCCACUUGGGACAUGCAUGUACCUCCAUGUGCAGCGAUCAGUCAGCGAUCAGGCAGCGAUCAGUCUCUAGGACUUGAGAGCCAUUGAGACCCAAAGGGGAGAAACACAUCUGGGACCCUGGUGCAGUAAAGGUGGAGAGAAGCAAUGGAGGAGAAAUGGGAGUUAUUCUCUCUCCAAGAAUUCAGUCCCACUAGGUCUGGUCAGGGAAGAAAGGUGAGGCCAGGGAGAAAGGCGCACAAGAACACUGACUACCCCAAGCCAACUGAACACCAGCUUCACCAAGGACAGCCAGCUGAAAUUAUCGAUCGCCCUCUGACUCUGUAUGGAAGGGGCCUCCCCAUGAUUAGAUUCUGCUACAGUGAUACAGAGGAAAUCAGGUCCCCUUGGGGGUUCUUAGUCUCAUUAAUAAAAGAUUUUAAGGGUACAGGGAUAAUUGUAUUAACGUUUAAAGAAAAAACUGCAGGCAGACAAUGGCUGCCUGGAGGAGAAAAGGAAGAAAAA
rnacentral:lncRNA from 1 species